rnacentral:rRNA from 1 species
AUUGAACGCUGGCGGCAGGCUUAACACAUGCAAGUCGAGCGAGCGGCGGUCGGGUGAGUAAUGUCUGGGAAACUGCCCGAUGGAGGGGGAUAACUACUGGAAACGGUAGCUAAUACCGCAUACCAUCGGAUGUGCCCAGAUGGGCUUAGCUAGUAGGUGGGGUAACGGCUCACCUAGGCGACGAUCCCUAGCUGGUCUGAGAGGAUGACAAGCCACACUUGAACUGAGACACGGUCCAGACUCCGACGCGAGGCAGCAGGGGGGAAUAUUGCACAAGGGGCGCAAGCCUGAUGCAGCCAUGCCGCGUGUAUGAAGAAGGCCUUAGGGUUGUAAAGUACUUUCAGCGGGGAGGCGUUACCCGCAGAAGAAGCACCGGCUAACUCCGUGCCAGCAGCCGCGGUAAUUC